rnacentral:lncRNA from 1 species
UCGAGUUUAGUCAUUUCAACUUGUCAAAUAUACCACUACAACUUCAUAAUUCUCGCAAAAUUACAAAAUUGGUGUCAAGUCGAAGAACUCGGCUGUCAUAUUAAAUUCAACUUGAUAUAGUAUCCCAUGAAGAGUCGACAAGUUUCCUCAUUAAUGAUUCUAUCUAUCCACCACCCAUUACAUUAUCAUUCUACAACUAAUGGUCAGUUAACCCUAAAUGUACAAUUCACUAGUAGGAGCACCACUUGGCAAGAUGCCCUAUUUUGAGUGUGGUUAUCUUGUCCAUAUCAAGUUUGUGAUGACUAUGAUUGUACAAGAGCUCGACUAAAAGGAUAGCAGGAGAAUCCAAUAGCUGAAAAUUCAAAUUAACAAAGAACUAGAACAGUAAACAAUGAGUUCAUGAACCUCACCACAACCAUCAAACUUUUCACCAGGCUUUGAUCGAAUUCUACCCACCAUUUGACUCAACAAAAUGUCGUACUGUGAAUCCCUCUCUUCAAUUAUAUUUUCCAUAUUAACUCUCG